GCGAGCGCAGGCGGUUUCUUAAGUCUGAUGUGAAAGCCCCCGGCUCAACCGGGGAGGGUCAUUGGAAACUGGGAGACUUGAGUGCAGAAGAGGAGAGUGGAAUUCCAUGUGUAGCGGUGAAAUGCGUAGAUAUAUGGAGGAACACCAGUGGCGAAGGCGGCUCUCUGGUCUGUAACUGACGCUGAGGCUCGAAAGCGUGGGGAGCGAACAGGAUUAGAUACCCUGGUAGUCCACGCCGUAAACGAUGAGUGCUAAGUGUUGGAGGGUUUCCGCCCUUCAGUGCUGCAGCAAACGCAUUAAGCACUCCGCCUGGGGAGUACGACCGCAAGGUUGAAACUCAAAGGAAUUGACGGGGGCCCGCACAAGCGGUGGAGCAUGUGGUUUAAUUCGAAGCAACGCGAAGAACCUUACCAGGUCUUGACAUCCUUUGACCACUCUAGAGAUAGAGCUUCCCCUUCGGGGGCAAAGUGACAGGUGGUGCAUGGUUGUCGUCAGCUCGUGUCGUGAGAUGUUGGGUUAAGUCCCGCAACGAGCGCAACCCUUAUUGUUAGUUGCCAUCAUUUAGUUGGGCACUCUAGCGAGACUGCCGGUGACAAACCGGAGGAAGGUGGGGAUGACGUCAAAUCAUCAUGCCCCUUAUGACCUGGGCUACACACGUGCUACAAUGGGAAGUACAACGAGUUGCGAAGUCGCGAGGCUAAGCUAAUCUCUUAAAGCUUCUCUCAGUUCGGAUUGUAGGCUGCAACUCGCCUACAUGAAGCCGGAAUCGCUAGUAAUCGCGGAUCAGCACGCCGCGGUGAAUACGUU
rnacentral:rRNA from 1 species